UACGAAGGGGGCUAGCGUUGCUCGGAAUCACUGGGCGUAAAGCGCACGUAGGCGGCUUCUUAAGUCAGGGGUGAAAUCCUGGAGCUCAACUCCAGAACUGCCUUUGAUACUGAGGAGCUUGAGUCCGGGAGAGGUGAGUGGAACUGCGAGUGUAGAGGUGAAAUUCGUAGAUAUUCGCAAGAACACCAGUGGCGAAGGCGACCAUCUGGCUCACAACUGACGCUCAGGCACGAAAGCAUGGGUAGCAAACAGG
rnacentral:rRNA from 1 species